CGUUGAGCAGCAAAAUUCACGUUUUGAUUCUUGCAUUCGCCAAGCAGACACCACCUCAAGAAAGCCUGGGGUCUUUGUGCAGAGGCACCAAGCCUCUUCCUAAAGGGGGAAAUGCAUCUGCAGGAAGUUGGAACCAAAUCACUUCGAGCACAGCUCAUGCUCACAGUGAAACUGAGCGCACACUGGGGACAGAGCAGCAGACAGUAAGUGGCUCUGAGGCUGGGCCAGGACGGUGAUAAAUCCAUCUCUGCAUCCCCAUCACGCUGCCUGACACAUUAGGCUGGAGAAAUGUAAGGUACCUUCUGCUGUGUCACCUUCGGAUGUCCUGUCUUUGAUACCACCUCUAGACACACCGGCCCUCUUUCCAACGUCUCCCUCCCUACGGUCUAUGGCAGAUGUGCUUAGCUGCCUACUACCAACCCAUUUCCUGCCUCUUUCUUCACUAGAGGAACUGUGCUUCCACUCAGGGCUUCUCCCCAUUGUCAGCUUGGCCAACCAUGAUGAUCCUGUUUUCUCUGCCAGUGACUGGUUUAGGUAAGAUACCAGAGAGCUUGCUCCUCUGUACUUUCUCUACAGCACGUGAGGACGCAGCAAGAAGGCGGCCGUCUCCAAGUCAGGAAAAGAGCCCUUGCCAGGACAUGAAUUGGCCGACACCUUGAUCUUGGACUUCCAGCCUCCAGACUACGAGAAAUAAAUACCUGCUGUUUACACCACA